UAUGAAAGGAUGAAAAAAGAAAACAGCAAGCUGGCAAUGCAUGCAUGUGUCCUUUACUGAUCCCAUGAAUUAAGGUGACCAUAUUAAUAGCAGCUAGGUGACUAUGUAAGCUGUGAUCUUAACCUGCUUGUAUUCUAAAGUCUAUAAAUAGUUUCCGUGUUUUAUAUUUGAAGAAGUACCGAGUGAAGAAAAACUGAGAGAAGUAAAAGAGCCGAAGCUCUCUGUGAGAAAAG
rnacentral:lncRNA from 1 species